CAGCAGCCGCGGUAAUACGGAGGGAGCUAGCGUUGUUCGGAAUUACUGGGCGUAAAGCGCGCGUAGGCGGUUACUCAAGUCAGAGGUGAAAGCCCGGGGCUCAACCCCGGAAUUGCCUUUGAAACUAGGUGACUAGAAUCUUGGAGAGGUCAGUGGAAUUCCGAGUGUAGAGGUGAAAUUCGUAGAUAUUCGGAAGAACACCAGUGGCGAAGGCGACUGACUGGACAAGUAUUGACGCUGAGGUGCGAAAGCGUGGGGAGCAAACAGGAUUAGAUACCCCCGUAGUCCCUGUCUCUUAUAC
rnacentral:rRNA from 1 species